AAAAAAUAUUUUUUUAUCAGUUUAGUAGAAAGGCAGCUACGGCGGCGCAUGUCAAAUCUUCGAAACUUUCUCCACUGAUAACGAAAAACAAAGAGGAAAUGGGGAAAUGCUUUAGCAAAUUUAUAAGCAAGCAAGCCCAUAUCGUGAGCAUUAAAGUUCCAUUACCUUGGUAAUUGAGAUAAAAUUUAGCUGGCCGGAUGAACUCCCCCUCGUAAAGAAUUGAUAAAGCUACGCGUUGGAUUAGUCAUGCUACCGAAUAAUAUUAUUUUUGGAGUUUGCUUUAUUUAGGACUAGACUGUCAACAUCCCGGAAAGACUUGGCCUAAGUUGUUUUAAAUUCUAUAUAUCCAAGCUUUAUUAUUCUGACCGCAAUUGUGGGUCGUUAUAUCGAAUUCAGCCCACUCCUGCAGCUGCAGUCGAGACGCUGUUGCUCCCGGAGACCUUCUGGCCGUGCAAUCUCAAAGACUUUGUGAACUGUGUGGAGCUGUGAGCUAUGAGCUGUGAGGCUGGCACACAAAAAAGUGCAUUAAGAUUACAGCUGGCGACUGUCUGACAGUUGUUGGGGCCGCUGCAACUUGUCCGAGGAGCUUAUCAGCUGUCGAUGCACUUGUAGCGCCACUUUCAGUUUCAUUUAGAGCCGCAGAUGCAGAUGCUGUUCGAGUUGCACUUGGAGCUGGGUGAAAGAGCUCCAACUGAAGGCGACUCAUUGACUUGGGGUGGGUGUGGGGGUGCAGCUGGGAGGCAUUCGAGCUUGGAGGAGGGCGUGGGGCCACUGGACGGACAAUGCUAUUGAUUAUUGACUCAGCUGCAGCGACUUGCCAAACAGAUGACACAGAGAAAAAAAUCAAAGAAAGUGCUGUCUUUGUGUGCAGUGUUCAAGUUUUGUAGUUAGGUAAUGACGGGGUUUAGGGCUCUGAACUAAAGAGGAAGUUCCUCAAAUGAAAAGAGAG
rnacentral:sRNA from 1 species